GACCUUCUCCCACAGAGAGGUCCAUCUUUUCUUGAAGAAGACACCGGAACAUAAGGUUACUGCUUUUCAUCCUACACAUAUUCUCAAGGGAAGGAUUUGCCUAGGAGAUCAUCAUACACAGACAGCAAUAAAAACCUAAGGUGAACAA